UACGGGGGGGGCAAGCGUUGUUCGGAAUUACUGGGCGCAAAGGGCUCGUAGGUGGCCAACUAAGUCAGACGUGAAAUCCCUCGGCUUAACCGGGGAACUGCGUCUGAUACUGGAUGGCUUGAGUUCGGGAGAGGGAUGCGGAAUUCCAGGUGUAGCGGUGAAAUGCGUAGAUAUCUGGAGGAACACCGGUGGCGAAGGCGGCAUCCUGGACCGACACUGACGCUGAGGAGCGAAAGCCAGGGGAGCAAACGGG
rnacentral:rRNA from 1 species